AGUGAACGCUGGCGGUAGGCCUAACACAUGCAAGUCGAACGGCAGCACAGUAAGAGCUUGCUCUUACGGGUGGCGAGUGGCGGACGGGUGAGGAAUACAUCGGAAUCUACUUUUUCGUGGGGGAUAACGUAGGGAAACUUACGCUAAUACCGCAUACGACCUACGGGUGAAAGCAGGGGAUCUUCGGACCUUGCGCGAUUGAAUGAGCCGAUGUCGGAUUAGCUAGUUGGCGGGGUAAAGGCCCACCAAGGCGACGAUCCGUAGCUGGUCUGAGAGGAGGAUCAGCCACACUGGAACUGAGACACGGUCCAGACUCCUACGGGAGGCAGCAGUGUGGAAUAUUGGACAAUGGGCGCAAGCCUGAUCCAGCCAUACCGCGUGGGUGAAGAAGGCCUUCGGGUUGUAAAGCCCUUUUGUUGGGAAAGAAAAGCAGCAGGUUAAUACCCCGCUGUUCUGACGGUACCCAAAGAAUAAGCACCGGCUAACUUCGUG
rnacentral:rRNA from 1 species